ensembl:lncRNA
UGGCAUACAGCUCAUGAAAACCCAAAAAUUCCUAUCUCAAAAAAACUUAGCAUAUUUCAUCCGACCAAUAAAAGAAAAGUGUUUUUAAUACAAAAAAAGUCAACCUUCAAAUAAUUAUGUUCAGUUAUGCACUCAAUACUUGGUCGGGAAUCCUUUUGCAGAAAUGACUGCUUCAGUGCGGCGUGGCAUGGAGGCAAUCAGCCUGUGGCACUGCUGAGGUGUUAUGGAGGCCCAGGAUGCUUCGAUAGCGGCCUUAACUUCACAAUAUCCCACAGAUUCUCUAUGGGGUUCAGGUCAGGAGAGUUGGCAGGCCAAUUGAGCACAGUAAUACCAUGGUCAGUAAACCAUUUACAAGUGGUUUUGGCACUGUGAGCAGGUGCCAGGUCGUGCUGAAAAACGAAAUCUUCAUCUCCAUAAAGCUUUUCAGCAGAUGGAAGCAUGAAGUGCUCCAAAAUCUCCUGAUAGCUAGCUGCAUUGACCCUGCCCUUGAUAAAACACAAUGGACCAACACCAGCAGCUGACAUGGCACCCCAGACCAUCACUGACUGUGGGUACUUGACACUGGACUUCAGGUAUUUUGGCAUUUCCUUCUCCCCAGUCUUCCUCCAGACUCUGGCACCUUGAUUUCCGAAUGACAUGCAAAAUUUGCUUUCAUCCGAAAAAAGUACUUUGGACCACUGAGCAACAGUCCAGUGCUGCUUCUCUGUAGCCCAGGUCAGGCGCUUCUGCCGCUGUUUCUGGUUCAAAAGCACACGCUUGUGCACAGUGGCUCUGGAUGUUUCUACUCCAGACUCAGUCCACUGCUUCCGCAGGUCCCCCAAGGUCUGGAAUCGGUCCUUCUACACAAUCUUCCUCAGGGUCCGGUCACCUCUUCUCGUUGUGCAGCGUUUUUUGCCACACUUUUUCCUUCCCACAGACUUCCCACUGAGGUGCCUUGAUACAGCACUUUGGGAACAGCCUAUGUGUUCAGAAAUUUCUUUCUGUGUCUUACCCUCUCGCUUGAGGGUGUCAAUGAUGGCCUUCUGGGUUAACCUCUUAACCAUGAUUGCGGUUUUGAGUAAUGAACCAGGCUGGGAGUUUUUAAAAGCCUCAGGAAUCUUUUGCAGGUGUUAAUUAGUUGAUUUAGAUGAUUAGGUUAAUAGCUCGUUUAGAGAACCUUUUCAUGAUAUACUAAUUUUUUGAGAUAGGAAUUUUGGGUUUUCAUGAGCUGUAUGCCAAAAUCAUCAGUAUUAAAACAAUAAAAGACCUGAAAUAUUUCAGUUGGUGUGCAAUGAAUCUAAAAUAUAUAAAGUUUAAUUUUAUCAUUACAUUAUGAAAAUAAUAAUUUUUCACAAUAUGCUAAUUUUUUUGAGAAGGACCUGUAUAUAUAUAUAUAUAUAUAUAUAUACUAUAUAUAACUAUAUAUAUAUA